ensembl:snoRNA
CAUCAAUGAUGAAAAUAGCCAAAUCUGAGCAUCAGAAGAUCUGCCUGUCUACCUGCUGCAUGAUCUUCAUAGUUCUGGGA